rnacentral:rRNA from 1 species
AUUGAACGCUGGCGGCAGGCCUAACACAUGCAAGUCGAGCGGAGCGGCUGACGGGUGCGUAAUGCCUAGGAAUCUGCCUGGUAGUGGGUGAUAACGUCCGGAAACGGGCGCUAAUACCGCAUACUAUCAGAUGAGCCUAGGUCGGCUUAGCGAGUUGGUGGGGUAAAGGCCUACCAAGGCGACGAUCCGUAACUGGUCUGAGGGGAGGAUCAGUCACAUUGGAACUGAGACACGGUCCAGACUCCUACGGGAGGAAGAAGUGGGGAAUAUUGGACAAGGGGCGAAAGCCGGAUCCAGCCAGGCCGCGUGGUGGAAGAAGGUCUUCGGAUGGUAAAGCACUUUAAGUUGGGAGGCGGUACCAACAGAAUAAGCACCGGCUAACUUCGUGCCAGCAGCCGCGGUAAUAC